UCUGAAUGUAAUACCAUAACUCUGAAAAUCAGGUUUCCCCCUCCCCAGGGCUUGCUGCUUUUUGUUACUGUUUUGUUGUAGGUAUUCUCUGUGCCAAGGGUCAGUCUUAGGUACAAACUUCGGGUCUCUUCAGGCCUUUUCUGAGCCUUUCCCUGCGCAUGCAUUAUCACUUUCUAGUUCUCCCCCUACAUGCAGCUGCUUUUGAGUGUCCUAGUCUUUCAUGUCUGGCUUCCAAAAAGGGAAAAGGAGAAAAAUAAAGUCGCUUCACCCAGUGCCGGCGAGCUUGCAGCAAUGGAGGGAGGUGAAACCUGCUUCUUAACAGCUACAAGUGGACAACUGUCUGCCCUGGGGCUGGUGGGGAGGAUAGGUGGCUGCUGCGGGUGCCAAAAUCAAUUGCAUUUUGCCACCCAAACCUACUCCUGGAAGCUGCAAUCCUUCCAUAGACUCCAGAACUCCAGGACGGUUGCAUCAGAUGCUGCCAGUGCCAUUUCUGGUGCUCAUUGCUCCACCAUCUUCCCAGACUCUUCCCAGAAUGCCUUUUCUAUCCUGCACCUACGUCAUUGCCUUCGCCAGUGCUCUGUGUUCUUCAUGUGGUUUUGAGUUACUGUCUUGUGUUCUUUCAUUUCAAUCUAAGCUACUCUUAUCCGUAUUUCUUGUACAACAGGUUUCCUGGUGAUAAAUGCUGGUUUUGAUGACCCGAUAAUGUCUUAAUUUCACCUGAAAGUUUGAGUUGACAGUAUUUUUCCAGCAUGUUUACUGUGUCAUGCAGCUGCCUACUGGCCUCCGCGCUUUCUGGUGAAAGGACCCCCUGGAUGAGAUGACUUGCUCCUCUCCUGCUGCCUUCAAGAUCCUCUCUUGUUCCUUGGCCGUGAUGGUUUGAUGAUGAUGUGUCUAAGUGUGGCUAUCUCUUGGAAUUGGUUAAGCUAUUGUCUGUGUAGAUACAUCUUUAUCUUUGGGAAAUUUCAGCCAUUAUUUCUUUUUUUUUUUAAAGGUGGAGUUUCACCAUGAUGGCCAGGUUGGUCUUGAACUCCUGACCUCAGGUGAUCCACCCACCUCGGCCUCCUAAAGUGCUAGGAUUACAGGCGUGAGCCACCAUGCCCGGCCCAUUAUUUCUUCAAAGAAUUUUCUGCCCCUUUAUCUCCCUCCUCUCUUUCCGGGGUUUCAGUUACGCAUUUGUUUGCAGGUUUGAUGGUGUCACACAGGCCUCUGAGUCUCUGGGCAGUUUUCUUCAUUCUUUCUGUUCUCAGAUUGGAUCCUUUCCACUUACCUAUUACCUGCUCCAAUCUGCUGAGAUUCUCCAGUGAGAGUUUAAAUUCAGUUAUUGUACUUUUCUACUCUUGAAUUUCUACUUGGUUCUCUAUAAUUCCUGUCCUUUACUGAUACUCUCUGUGUGCUGAAACAUAUGCUCAUACUUUAAUUUAGAAAAAUUUUCCUUUGCUCUUGGAACGUAUUUAAGACCCUUAAUGUAAAGUAUCCGUCAGGUACCUGCAGCCCCGUCUUCCUCCGAGACGCUCUCUGUUGACUGCCUUCUUCCCCAUGUGUAGGCCGGACUUUCUCAUUUAAAAAUGAACAUUUAAAAUAGUAUAAUGUGGCAACUCCAGAAAUCAGGUACCUCCCCUGCCCCCGGGGUUUGUUGUAGUUUGUUUAUUAUUAGCGUUUCUGAAUUAAUCAGGUAAAAUCUGUAUUAUCUGCCAUGUGUGGCCACUAAGUCUCUCCUCAGUUUCCUCAGUGGUCGGUUAAUGAACAGACGGAGAUUUCCUUGAAGGCCCAGAAGCAGUCGUCUCCCAGCUUCUCUUCGGAGGUUCCAUGCAGUUAACAGUUCUGCACUAGCCCUCACUUCCGGCUUGCACAGAGCCUCAAGUUGUUCCAUUACUUGCCCAACUGUUAGCCAGCCCCUUGGGCUACUGCAAAGUUCAUCGAUUCCCUGUAGUGAUUUUCGACAACAGCCCCAGGAGAACACUCUUCUCAUGCCGGGUGAGCUCUGAAUCCAGUCAGAAACACAGAUUGCAAGCGGUGUCUUCCAGGGAACCACCGGAUAGGUCAAACAAUCAUGCCUUUCUGGAAGUGAGGCUUUGAAAGAGCUCCAGCUCUAGUGGCUGCCAGGCUGUUCAUUUUUAUUAUAAAUAUGGGUGUUAAUUUUUAAGGCUGCCACAGUGCUGAAGGGGGAGGAUGGGCAAUGCAUGCUGUUCUAAGAUUCAGCCUAUUCCCUCAGAAAAAUAAAAUAACUCUACAUAGCUUGCUGCAAGCCUUCGGUGAAUUUCCAGAGUACUUAAAAAUGUAUUCUGACCUUCCCGCCACUUUUCUCACUGCUUGGAGGAAGACAAGACUUCUCAGAGGUCCUUGUGCUGCACUCUCAGCUCCGCUCUUGGCAUCUUCCUACGGAUCGAAAAAGCUACUGUCAAGCUCCUAUUGGAGGGAGGUCACCUGUUGCACAGAGGGAAAAAACAAAACAAAACAGUAUUUAGAACCAGACAGCAGCAGCAGAUUCUCCUCCCAGAUCUGUGGCUUACCAGCAGUGACCUGGCCUCCUUUGCAAGCUGGGACUGGGGGAGCCACUGUGAAAUCUGAUGGGUGCUGUGUGUGCUGCCCUCCCCUCGGCCUGGCGUGGUAGCAGCCGUCAUGCUUCCAGACGGGAAGCAGCGAGGCAAGGUCCUCACUCAGCUAAAGAAGAGCAGCGGGGCACUGUGUGGGCUGCGGCUCAGCCCACUGGCACCAACCCCAUCCUCCUUCCGGGUGUCCUCUUGGGCUGCAGAGGCUGCAAUGCUGAAUCCAAAACCUUGGAUUCCCCGACCUGAUUCAGGCUCUGCCAAUCAGUCGGAAGUGUCAGAGAAACCUGAAUGCAGACUGGAGGUGUGUGGGCGAGGGGGACGCAGGAGCGAGUGGCCAUCUGCUCUGGGGUGACUGGUUCCUGCGCAGGGGGGACCAGCUGCCCACCCAGCAGCCCCAUCCUGCUGUGCAGUGUGGGAGGUCACCCUUGGACACUCAGUCCAGAGCCUCCCUCCAACCCUCCUCACAAUUCUAUAAGCCACUUACCCCCCAUAGUAAAUCCCUGUCUGCUCACACUGGUUACGGUAGGCUUAGUUCUCUGUAGGCGCUCUGAUUGAAAAUAAAAUCCUGGCGUGACA